rnacentral:lncRNA from 1 species
GUCUUUUAUUUCAUGACUGGAAAGGUCUUCACUACUAUAAGACAAAGGAGUUCUAUUAGUCUUCUGGUAAUUUUAUGGUUUUGUAUCUUUAAUCCAGUUGAAGUUUUUCCUGGUGUUCUGUGUGAAAUAUUGUGUGAAAAAAGUGUCUCUUUUUCCAGUUAGCAAAACACCUUUUAUUUAAAAAUAUGCCUUUGCCUCUCUGAUUUGAUAUUUGUCACAGAUCAGCUUUCAUAUAUAUAUUUAGGAAUGUUUCUGGGCUUUCUGUUCUAUUCCAUUGGUUUGUCUUUUAGCAUUAUUUUUGGUAACAUGUUUUUUUAUAACAUUAUUUUUUAUGUGGACCAUAUAAUUUAUUUGACUAAUUUUUGUUAAACAUUUAAGUUGCUUCUAAUUCUUCAAUAUUCCAAAGAGGGUCUCAGUGAAUGAAAUCUUUGCAUAUAUUUUAAACAUGCUGUUUAUGAUGGGUCAAUUCUGUCCUCUGGAUGUGCUUUUAUACCUGGAGUUACUAGGUCAAAGGUGUGGGCUUUCACAGGCUUUUUUUUAUACAUAAUGCCAAAAUGCCUUCCAGAAAGAUCGUACCAAUUUACACUCCCUCCACCAAUGUGCGAGUGCUGAUUUCCCCUCACCCAUGCCAACUCUCAGUAUUAUCAUUCUUUUUAAUCAUUGCCAAUCUGAUCAGAAAAAAAAGAAGGUCUCUCAUUGCUGUUCUAAUUUGCUUUUCUUUGAAUGCUAGUGAGGUUGAAUAUUUUUUCAAUUUAUUCUGGUUUUGAUGUACAGAAGUUUUUAAUUUUUUAUGUAGUCAAAUCUAUCAAUCUUUUCUUCUAUGGUUUUUGCUUUUGUUGACAUGUUUAGAAAGUCCUUCCCCAUCCUAAGAUUAUAAAAUAUUCACUUCUAUUUUCUUCUAGUACCUUUAUGGUUUCAUUUCCAUCUUUAGCCAUCUGGUAUUCAUUUUGAUGAAUGGUGUAAGCUGGGACAUAACUUGUAUUAUUUAUUUAUUUAUUUACUUCUCAAAUGGAUACCCAGUUCUUUCAUCUCUGGUAAAAAGCAUGCGUAUGCAUGCGCACACUUACACAUGUUAUGUAACUAUUCCUAAAGUGAACAUCUUGAACACCUGGCUACUGAAGAUAAUCCAACUCUAGACAUCGGUCCAUCAUUAAAAAUAUCAGUUAUUAGCCAAACACGGUGGUGCAUGCUAGUAAUUCCAGUGAGUCAGGAGGCUGACAAAGGCAGAUAACCAGGUUCAAGUCCAGCCUCAGUGAUUUCAUGGGACGAUGUCUCAAAAUAUACAAAAGGCUGGGGAUGUACCUCAAUGGUAGAACACUCCUGGGUUCAAUCCCCAGUACAGAAAAAGAAAUCAAUUAUUAUGCUAGAUCGGCAGAUAUGGCACUUUUUUUUUAAGAGAGAGAAUUUUUUUUUAAUAUUUAUUUUUUUAGUUAUCAGCAGACACAACAUCUUUGUUUGUAUGCGGUGCUGAGGAUCGAACCCGGGCCACACGCAUGCUAGGG